rnacentral:rRNA from 1 species
GCCGGUUUGGACGGUUUGGUGAAACUUUCAACAUGGAUUUCGUGACCACAACAAGGACGGUGGUCAUGGAAAUCGAAAUCCGCUAAGGAGUGUGUAACAACUCACCUGCCGAAUCAACUAGCCCCGUAAAUGGAUGGCGCUGAAGAGCGCGACCUAUACCCGGCCGUCGGGGCAAGAGCCAGGCCUCGAUG